UACGUAGGGGGCAAGCGCUGUCCGGAUUCACUGGGCGUAAAGGGUGCGUAGGCGGGCUGGCGUGUCGGUGGUGAAAGCCCUCGGCUUAACCGAGGAAGUGCUGCCGAAACUACCAGUCUUGAGGGCGGAAGAGGAAACUGGAACUUCUGGUGUAGCGGUAAAAUGCGUAGAUAUCAGAAGGAACGCCGAUAGCGAAGGCAGGUUUCUGGGACGUUCCUGACGCUGAAGCACGAAAGCUAGGGGAGCAAAC
rnacentral:rRNA from 1 species